rnacentral:rRNA from 1 species
CUUGGUCAUUUAGAGGAAGUAAAAGUCGUAACAAGGUUUCCGUAGGUGAACCUGCGGAAGGAUCAUUAGUGAAUUUUAGGGUGCUUUUACUUCGGUAAAGGGCCUGACCUCCACUCUCCAACACUUGUGCACCAUUUGGCCCGUUUUUGAAAGCGCGCAAGCGCUGGACAUUUCGAGCGGCAUCAUUUUAAACACUAGUUAAAGAAUGUAACAAAAAACAAAACUAAAAAAACUUUCAACAACGGAUCUCUUGGCUCUCGCAUCGAUGAAGAACGCAGCGAAAUGUGAUAAGUAAUGUGAAUUGCAGAAUUCAGUGAAUCAUCGAAUCUUUGAACGCACCUUGCGCUCUCUGGUAUUCCGGAGAGCAUGCCUGUUUGAGUGUCAUGAACUCUUCAACCCACCGGUUUCUUGUUAAAUCGGAUGGUGUUUGGAUUUUGAGUGUUGCUGGUCUUCGGACGUAGCUCAUUCGUAAUAUAUUAGCAUCUCAAUUUCGAACUUCGGAUUGACUCAGCGUGAUAGACUAUUCGCUGAGGACACCUUUGGGUGGCCGAAUGAGAAGACAGUAGAAGCUCCUAAACAGAUCUUAGUCAAUUUAAAUUUAGACCUCAGAUCAGGCAGGAUUACCCGCUGAACUUAAGCAUAUCAAUAAGCGGAGGAAAAGAAACUAACAAGGAUUCCCCUAGUAACGGCGAGUGAAGCGGGAAGAGCUCAAAUUUGUAAUCUGGCACCUUCGGUGUCCGAGUUGUAAUCUCGAGAAGUGUUUUCCGCGCCAGACCGCAUACAAGUCUGUUGGAAUACAGCGUCAUAGUGGUGAGAACCCCGUAAUUGAUGCGGAUGCCUGGUGCUCUGUGAUACACUUUCGAAGAGUCGAGUUGUUUGGGAAUGCAGCUCAAAUUGGGUGGUAAAUUCCAUCUAAAGCUAAAUAUUGGCGAGAGACCGAUAGCGAACAAGUACCGUGAGGGAAAGAUGAAAAGCACUUUGGAAAGAGAGUUAACAGUACGUGAAAUUGUUGGAAGGGAAACGCUUGAAGUCAGACUUGCUAUUUGGAAUUCAGCCGCAAGGUGUAUUUUUCAAUUUGCAGGCCAGCAUCAGUUUUUGGGGAUGGAAAAGGAUCAGGAGAAGGUAGCAGUUUCGGCUGUGUUAUAGCUCUUAAUUGGAUUCAUCCCUGGGGACUGAGGAACGCAGCUUCGGCUUAGGAUGCUGGUGGAAUGGCUUUAAACGACCCGUCUUGAAACACGGACC